GUAGGGUGCAAGCGUUAAUCGGAAUUACUGGGCGUAAAGCGUGCGCAGGCGGUUAUGUAAGACAGUUGUGAAAUCCCCGGGCUCAACCUGGGAACUGCAUCUGUGACUGCAUAGCUAGAGUACGGUAGAGGGGGAUGGAAUUCCGCGUGUAGCAGUGAAAUGCGUAGAUAUGCGGAGGAACACCGAUGGCGAAGGCAAUCCCCUGGACCUGUACUGACGCUCAUGCACGAAAGCGUGGGGAGCAAACAGGAUUAGAUACCCUGGUAGUCCACGCCCUAAACGAUGUCAACUAGCCGUUGGGAGCCUUGAGCUCUUAGUGGCGCASUAACGCAUUAAGUUGACCGCCUGGGGAGUACGGCCGCAAGGUUA
rnacentral:rRNA from 1 species